rnacentral:rRNA from 1 species
AGCACUGUUUCGGCUAGGGGGUCAUCCCGACUUACCAACCCGAUGCAAACUACGAAUACCGAAGAAUGUUAUCACGGGAGACACACGGCGGGUGCUAACGUCCGUCGUGAAGAGGGAAACAACCCAGACCGCCAGCUAAGGUCCCAAAGUCAUGGUUAAGUGGGAAACGAUGUGGGAAGGCACAGACAGCCAGGAUGUUGGCUUAGAAGCAGCCAUCAUUUAAAGAAAGCGUAAUAGCUCACUGGUCGAGUCGGCCUGCGCGGAAGAUGUAACGGGGCUAAACCAUGCACCGAAGCUGCGGCAGCGACACUAUGUGUUGUUGGGUAGGGGAGCGUUCUGUAAGCCUGCGAAGGUGUGCUGUGAGGCAUGCUGGAGGUAUCAGAAGUGCGAAUGCUGACAUAAGUAACGAUAAAGCGGGUGAAAAGCCCGCUCGCCGGAAGACCAAGGGUUCCUGUCCAACGUUAAUCGGGGCAGGGUGAGUCGACCCCUAAGGCGAGGCCGAAAGGCGUAGUCGAUGGGAAACAGGUUAAUAUUCCUGUACUUGGUGUUACUGCGAAGGGGGGACGGAGAAGGCUAUGUUAGCCGGGCGACGGUUGUC